AACUUUUGACAACGGUUCUCUUGGUUCUGGCAUCGAUGAAGAACGCAGCGAAAUUCGAUAAGUAAUGUGAAUUGCAGAAUUCAGUGAAUCAUCGAAUCUUUGAACGCACAUUGCGCCCGCUGGUAUUCCGGCGGGCAUGCCUGUUCGAGCGUCAUUAUGACCAAUCAAGCUCUGCUUGGCCUUGGGGCCCGCUGUACCAGCGGCCCUUAAAACCAGUGGCGGGGCCCUCUGGGUCCAAGCGUAGUAAUACUCCUCGCUAUAGGGUCCAGCCGUCCACCCGUCAGAACCCCCAACUUUCUCAAGGUUGACCUCGGAUCAGGUAGGGAUACCCGCUGAACUUAAGCAUAUCAAUAAGCGGAGGCU
rnacentral:misc_RNA from 1 species